GCGACGGUAGCUUAAUAGGCGAGAGCACAGCCCUGUCACGGCUGGGGGUGCGGAUUCGAAUUCCGUUCGUCGCG
rnacentral:tRNA from 1 species